CAUUAAGUGGCCGAAUG
rnacentral:tRNA from 3 species